GGAUAUACGUCUCAGGAUACAGGAAAUACGGAAAGAGCGAAACCGGGAGGAAGUUCAGUGCCUGGAGGGGAUCCGCCGCCAUCUCAGGUCUUUUGGCCUCGCCGGGGUCCACCAGAGAGAGCUGUCGCCCGGAUCCUAUAAUCCUUAUGGGGGAUCAGCCUUGUACCUCCGGGAGAUCCACGCUCCCAGCUGGAAACACGCGGGAAACUAAACCUCCAAAAAAGCGCUGCCUCCUAGCUCCACGGUGGGAUUAUCCAGAAGGAACCCCCAACGGAGGUAGUACCCCUCUCCCUUCGGCACCUCCUCCUGCAUCACCGGGCCUGAAGUCGCACCCACCUCCUCCAGAGAAGUAGUACAAUAUACUUCUCCCACCCCAAACCAGUCUUUGAAGGAUUGCAAUAUGACUCCAUUUCCUUGAUGCAUUCAUAAAAUAGUUCACUCAGCGAAGACAAUGAAGAUUAUUGACAAUGCUACCCUGCUUUUACUGAUGUCCUGCACUGGGAAGUUGUGAUUUUUAAGUUUCAGAGCUUCCAAAUCAAUGUGUCAACUCCUCCAAGCCUCCAAAGUCAGCCAUGACACCACCACACUUGACCCGCAAAAAAGUCUUAUGAUAUAAUCAGCGAAAUUUCACCACCUGAAUUUGGAUGAAUUCUGGGACAUGACCAAUAUCAGUCUGUAGACUUCUAAGAUUGAAGGCCCUGGCCUGGAUCAUGGUGAAUUCACCAAAGCAAAUAAUGCCUGUGAGAUGGUCCUGCAACAGCCAAUCAGUUCUCUCCUUUGGUGACAUGCAGUCCUUGCUGUAUAAGUUUGAACUCCUAUAAAUCCAUUAAGGUUGUAAUAAACUGUUUCUCUCAUUGCUGUUAGUUCUAUAUGACUACUAUCUAGUAAAUUGUGAAUUUUUAGUAAAUAUUUCUUAAUAAUUCAAAAUACAAAAUAUUCCUAAAACUGGCAUCAAAGUAUGAAAUUCUUCCUACAAACGGCCAUUCACUCAUUCUUUAUAGUGUGAUAAUAUCAGGAAAGUUGGGGUGUGGUGAGGCAUAAGGGAAAAAAAUACAAAAAAUAAUUAGGUUCCCAGCAUAUUCUCUUUACUUUAAAGUCAGUUUUUCCAUAGUAUUUAUUCUAUGGUAUCCCUUAUUCUUUUACAUGUUAACUGUUUUCCUGGUCAUGAUGGUU